ACUCAAUAGAUACCCUGGUAGUCCACGCCCUAAACGAUGUCUACUAGUUGUCGGGUCUUAAUUGACUUGGUAAACGCAGCUAAACGCGUGAAGUAGACCGCCUGGGGAGUACGGUCGCAAGAUUAAAACUCAAAGGAAUUGACGGGGACCCGCACUAGCGGUGGAUGAUGUGGAUUAAAUUCGAUGCAACGCGAAAAACCUUACCUACCCUUGACGUGGAUGGAAUCCCUGAGAGAUUGGGGAGUGCUCGAAAGAGAACCAUUACACAGGUGCUGCAUGGCUGUCGUCAGCUCGUGUCGUGAGAUGUUGGGUUAAGUCCCGCAACGAGCGCAACCCUUGUCAUUAGUUGCUACGAAAGGGCACUCUAAUGAGACUGCCGGUGACAAACCGGAGGAAGGUGGGGAUGACGUCAAGUCCUCAUGGCCCUUAUGGGUAGGGCUUCACACGUCAUACAAUGGUACAUACAGAGGGCCGCCAACCCGCGAGGGGAGCUAAUCCCAGAAAGUGUAUCGUAGUCCGGAUUGUAGUCUGCAACUCG
rnacentral:rRNA from 1 species